GAAGCGCUGYGCCGGCCCCCGCGGCUCCUGCGGCUGCUGCCCCUUUGCAGAGGGCUCCUGCUGCUCCGACGGGCGUCACUGCUGCCCCCCCGGCUCCCUCUGCGCCCUGGGCUCCUGCCGCCAGCUCCAGCCCCUGCGCUGGGACAUGGCAGCRGCCGCCCCCGCCCACGGGCUGCUCUGACCACCCGGACCUGCGGGCUGCGACGGCCUCGAGCCCAGGGCGGCCGGGCCCCCGGGGCCGUCCCGUCCCCGUCCCCCUCGCGUGGGUGCCGCUGUGCCAAUAAAACGUUUCCAGGGAAAUGCCAGUGCCCCGCACCCUGCCCGCCGCGGAGGGGACGCCAGGGCACGGU